ACUCCCAGAUGCAUACUACGCUUUCCAGCAGAUAGCUAGCUAGAUACUCGGGGCGUGCAUGCAGAGAGCGGAAUAUAUAUAGCUCAAAUGCUGGUUCUAAGAAUGGCCUAUCGAUCAGCAUUCAGCACGCGCGUUUCCCACAAGAGCAAUCAGGAAGCGAGCGCGCGAACGACAGCUCGGCAAGAGAGAGACGAGAGUCCUCGCUGUGGCUGUACACAUGGCUGUCCAAUCAAGUAAAGAAGAGCGGAGCCCUCUAAUGAAAGGGCCGGGUGUGUAGCUAGGUCUGCAGGUUGUUUCGGCUCGUGCUGGCUGGAUGCAUGCUGCGGGUAACUCUGCCUCUUUCUUCUCCUAUCGCUCGGAAGUUGCGUGUGCCAUACCGCUAUCAUGGCCCUACCACACCUUUAGAAAAAUAGCACACAUGCAGCAGCAGAGCAUGGCUACAAUGUCGUCCGAAGCCGCUGUUAUAUAUCCCAUCGAGGAUGGCCUGGCAAAUCCACUCCCAGAUGCAUACUACGCCUUUCCAGCAGAUAGCUAGCUAGAUACUCGGGGCGUGCAUGCAGAGAGCGGAAUAUAUAACUCAAAAUCAAAUACUGGUAUGUUAUCUCUCCCACCUCUUUCUGUAUAUACAUACAUACAUAUACACAUGUUACCACAUAUCAUAUGUGUGCACGCUUCUUGUAGUAUACUACUCUCACCGUCCUCC
rnacentral:lncRNA from 7 species